UACAUGGAGUCUGGUGGAAAUAUGCUGGCUCUAUACACGCUAAAAGUACUGAUUAUUUACAUGGAGUCUGGUGGGGUUGGUGAUGGAGAUUUCAGGGAUGUACAUACAAAAUUACAGUAAUACUGGUCAACAUC